GCCAAGCCGUAAAAAAUUAAUUCACAAAAAUAAACGCCAGGGAAUUACGAGCUUUAGCUUAAAACCCAAAGGACUUGACGGUGUCCCACCCCACUAGAGGAACCUGUUCUAUAAUCGAUAAUCCACGUUAUACCUAACCAUUUUUUGCCUUUCAGCUUGUAUACCUCCGUCGCAAGCCUACCAUAUGAAUGCACAGCAGUAGGCCUAAUAGCUUUAACACUAAAACGUCAGGUCAAGGUGCAGCUUAUAAAAUGGAAAGUAAUGGGUUACAAUUUCUAACUUAGAACAAACGAAUUACUACAUGAAACAUAGUCAUGAAGGCGGAUUUAGCAGUAAAUAGGGAACAGAGAGCCCUAUUAAAUCUGGCCCUGGGACGUGU
rnacentral:rRNA from 1 species